rnacentral:rRNA from 1 species
UGAAAUCUGGCUCUCGGGCCCGAGUUGUAAUUUGUAGAGGAUGCUUUUGGCAAGGUGCCUUCCGAGUUCCCUGGAACGGGACGCCAUAGAGGGUGAGAGCCCCGUCUGGUUGGACACCGAGCCUCUGUAAAGCUCCUUCGACGAGUCGAGUAGUUUGGGAAUGCUGCUCUAAAUGGGAGGUAUAUGUCUUCUAAAGCUAAAUACUGGCCAGAGACCGAUAGCGCACAAGUAGAGUGAUCGAAAGAUGAAAAGCACUUUGAAAAGAGAGUUAAAAAGCACGUGAAAUUGUUGAAAGGGAAGCGCUUAUGACCAGACUUGGGCUUGGUUGAUCAUCCGGCGUUCUCGCCGGUGCACUCUUCCAGUUCAGGCCAGCAUCAGUUUGCCCCGGGGGAUAAAAGCUUCGGGAAUGUGGCUCCUCCGGGAGUGUU